AGAGAAAGGGAAGACAGAUAGAGAGGGACGGGGAUGCUGCGAGGGAGGGAGACAGACAGACAGACAGGUCUAACGAGAGACAGACAGGUUCUGAUAAACAGGUGUAACGAGAGACAGACAGGUUCAGAUAAACAGGUGUUCUGAGAAACAGGUGUACAGACAGACAGGUUCAGAUAAACAGGUGUACAGACAGACACAUGAAGAGACAGACAGGUUCAGAUAAACAGGUAGACAGACAGACACAUGGAGAGACAGACAGGUGUAACGAGAGACAGACAGGUUCAGAUACACCUAUAGAGACAGACAGGUUCAGGUAAACAGACAGACAGGUUCAGGUAAACAGACAGACGGGUUCAGAUACACCUAUAGAGACAGACAGACAGGUUCAGAUAUACACCUAUAGAGACAGACAGGUUGUUGACAGAAGCAGCAGUCCUCUUCAGUCUGACGAUCAUAAAAACAUUCAAUGAUGUAUAAAGCAAUCAUUUAGGGGCGCGGAUGGCGUAGCGGUUAGGUCGUGCCCGCUAUAUGAAGGCUACAGUCAUCCAGACGGGCGUCCCGGGUUCAAGUCCGACCUGUGGCUCUCUCUGUCUGAUUCUAUUCUACAGUCUUAUCGAAUAAAGGCAAAAAAGUCAAACCUUCAUAACGUAAUAUUGUAAGAAUAUAACCGAAGGGGGCGGGGCUUCUUUGACUGACAGGCGUGGAGGCUUAAGCCCCGCCUUAGUGUCACCUGUUUCUAGAUUGAUCUGAAGUUAGGUAGAGUCAGAGUUUUCUAUGACGGGCUUUACAACUCAUUUUCAGAAACUAAUGAUGACAUCACUGAGACGACGUCCAUGUUUUAUACACACACACACACACACACAGUCUGUGAUGUAAAUGUGUGUAUAUAAAGUGUGUGUGUGUGUG